AUUCAAGUGAAUAGCUUGAAAGAGUAAGAGGGUGUGUACGUAAAACAAAUGUCAACUACAGAGGACACAAGUCUAUGGGUUUGUUCUCAGGAGGCUAUUGGACCCUGUACCGGGUUUCUUGGGUUUAAUAAGGUCGUGGAGGAAGCUGGAGCCAAUCCUAACUGAUAUUGGGUGAGAUACGGGAUACAUCCUGGACAGGUCACCAAUCUAUCACAUUCACACCUACGGGAAAUUUGCAGUAGCCAGUUGAUCUAAUCCACAUAUCUUUGGACUGUUGGAGGAAACUGGAACACCCAGAGGAAACCCACAGAGGCAUGAGGAGAACAUGCAAACUCCCGGGUCAACCAGCAGGUUUAUCCUGGUCAGGCUUGUGGUGGAUCCAGAAUCAAUCCAAGGAACACUGAGCAUGAAGCAGGAAUACACCCAGGAUGUGAUGCCACACCCAUUCAUCCAAUCAUUCACACUUAGGGGUGAUAUGUAUUUUUGGGCGGUCGAAGGAAACUGGAGCACCAGGACAAAGCUCACAUGUACACCUGGAGAACAUGUGAUACUCCACAUAGAGCUCAGAAUCAAACCCAGGAGCUCCGAAGCAGCAAUGCAACCCAGUGCACCACAGUUCCACCCUAU